AAGCUUUCUCCACUGAGGAAUUUCCUUUUCUUCCAACAAAAAGAAAAUAUAAAACUUUGACCUGCUCAGAUGGACUGAAAUGUGUAGAGAUGCACUGCCCUCUGCUGGGCCUGGACAGUACUGCACUGGUGCUGCUGCACUCACGCCUGUGGAACUCCACUUUGGUGGAGGAUUACAGCUCUUUGAACUACCUUGAUAUCGUUGUGGAUGCUACUCUGAGUCUUACCAACUCUCCAGGGAAUAUUAGAUUUAAAUCAGACCAGCUUGGGACUCAGGCAA